UGGGGAAUAUUGGACAAUGGGCGAAAGCCUGAUCCAGCCAUGCCGCGUGUGUGAAGAAGGUCUUCGGAUUGUAAAGCACUUUAAGUUGGGAGGAAGGGCAGUAAACUAAUACUUUGCUGUUUUGACGUUACCGACAGAAUAAGCACCGGCUAACUCUGUGCCAGCAGCCGCGGUAAUACAGAGGGUGCAAGCGUUAAUCGGAAUUACUGGGCGUAAAGCGCGCGUAGGUGGUUCGUUAAGUUGGAUGUGAAAUCCCCGGGCUCAACCUGGGAACUGCAUUCAAAACUGACGAGCUAGAGUAUGGUAGAGGGUGGUGGAAUUUCCUGUGUAGCGGUGAAAUGCGUAGAUAUAGGAAGGAACACCAGUGGCGAAGGCGACCACCUGGACUGAUACUGACACUGAGGUGCGAAAGCGUGGGGAGCAAACA
rnacentral:rRNA from 1 species